GGGGGAUUAGCUCAGUUGGCUAGAGCAUCCCUUGAAGGGAGGGUCGCCGGUUCGAAAGCUGUGCAUCCUGCA
rnacentral:tRNA from 1 species